CCUCUUUCUGUCCCUGUUCAUUAAAAUAGAUACUUGAGAUCAAGUGUAGUAUCUGUUCUUAUCAGUUUACUAUCUGAUAUGUCCUCUAUCCAAGGACAAUUAAAAAACAUAGAGGGACUAGCA
rnacentral:snRNA from 1 species